rnacentral:lncRNA from 1 species
CGUGACAUAAUGAGAUGUAUCCACAUUGCUUUAUUGUGUGUUCAAGAAAAUGUGGCAGAUAGACCAACUAUGGCUGCAGUAGUUCUCAUGCUCAGUAGCCUCUCUUUGAGUCUUCCAGUUCCUUCAGGGCCUGCAUAUUAUAUGCACAAUGAUAUUAGCGCAGAGACUUCGCUUAUUCAAGAAUACAAUUCAAGAAUGUCAGAAUCUAGAGAACUAGCCAAAAGUAAAUCUACUUCUUCGUCACGAAAUGAGGCGUCGAUAACUGAGUUAUAUCCUCGUUAACAUCCUUGGACAUAAUAGCCUUUUCUCUGAGUUUUCUUAUUUACUUUUUUAUUUGUUCGACCUCCUAUUAGUUUAGACUUGAGAUUGAGUGAUUGAUGACUUUGCGUUUCGCACUAGGAUUUAAUCUGAAUCAUAAGUAAUAGUAUUUUUUUUGGUUUGAAAGAUAAUUACACUAAUCUACAAUUGAACCAAAUGACUCCCUUUGUAAUUAGUAAUACAUUAUCGUUCCAUUUUAAGUGAAUAUUUUUGCUUUUCGAGAGUAAACUAUAUAAACUUUGAACUAUAUUUGAAAACGUAUUUUUUUUUAUCAUGUUGUCGUGAGAAGAAUUGUAAAUUAUAAUACUUCGUUUUUAAAUAUCUAAAUUCUAAAUAUUGAACUAUUCUAAUUUAAUUUAGCUUCAAACAUCUCAAAUUCUCCAAAAGGGAAAAAGUUAUUUUUUGGCAUACUAAAAGAAAUUAUUAAAAUAACCUGACAAGGGAUGCAGGACAAGUGGCACGGGUAUGAGAAGGUAAAUUCUUGCAUUAAGGGCUACUUGCUU